GCAGUCUGCAACUCGAGUGCAUGAAGCUGGAAUCGCUAGUAAUCGCGGAUCAGAAUGCCGCGGUGAAUACGUUCCCGGGUCUUGUACACACCGCCCGUCACACCAUGGGAGCCGACAACGCCCGAAGUCAGUGACCUAACCGAGAGGGAGGAGCUGCCGAAGGCGGGGUUGGUAACUGGGGUGAAGUCGUAACAAGGUAAC
rnacentral:rRNA from 1 species